UACGGAAGGCAGCAGUGGGGAAUAUUGCACAAUGGGCGAAAGCCUGAUGCAGCUAUGCCGCGUGUAUGAAGAAGGCCUUAGGGUUGUAAAGUACUUUCAUCGGGGAGGAAAAACAAAACUAAUAAUUUUAUUUCUUGACGUUACCCGAAAAAGAAGCACCGGCUAACUCCGUGCCAGCAGCCGCGGUAAUACGGAGGGUGCUAGCGUUAAUCAGAAUUACUGGGCGUAAAGAGCGCGUAGGUGGUUUUUUUAAGUCAGAUGUGAAAUCCCUGGGCUUAACCUAGGAACUGCAUUUUGAAACUGAAAUACUAGAGUAUCGUAGAGGGAGGUAGAAUUCUAGGUGUAGCGGUGAAAUGCGUAGAUAUCUGGAGGAAUACCUGUGGCGAAAGCGGCCUCUAAACGAAUACUGACACUGAGGUGCGAAAGCGUGGGGAGCAAACGAGGGAUUAGAUACC
rnacentral:rRNA from 1 species